CUUGCACGCAGCAACCAACAUAGCCGCGCACUCUGCAAAGCUCCGCCAGAUCAUCCUUCGUGCUACAGUUAUAACAAAGUUUAAAGUGUCCGCGUCGCUUGGUUUGCGUCCUGGUCCCUUGUCUCAGUGACCGAGGCGAUUGUCUGUGAGCUGCAGCGGAGCUCAGCAGUGCGUUGCUGUGUCCAGUUACAUAGCGCGCUGGGCGAGGAGACACGAGGACAGAAAAAUAUACGACCCUGGAGAGACGGCAUAGAGAGAGAGACCUGGGAAAUGUGCUGAGCAGUCAGAGACUGAGUUACUGGACGUUUUGGAUAUGAGAACGCAAACUGUGAUUACUCUAUCUUUACCUUCAUUUCCCUGAGCCACGCCAACGCUCAUCUUCUUCUUCAGACUGGUUGAAACUCGCAGCUUCGCUCCUGCUAGAUGAACGGGAGUAGUUGGAGAUUUCAUUUGGUGUGUCUCUCCGAUGCGAUUGGCUCACGGCCCGACAGGAAGUGAGCGACACCCCACCUCCCCAUGGCUCAGGCUUCGGCGGGCCGCUCCUCCCUUGCCCAGCAUGUUGUGCUGCUUGUGCAGUGCAUUCUAGUCCUGCAAGCUGGGGGCGUGGUCUGCAGGAAAGGGCCAGUGCUGCUGCCUGAGUCGCCCUGUCACCGGGCUGAACACCCUCUUAUCUCACACACAGAUAUGGAGCCUUGGAUCCACAGGUUCCGGGCUGAGGGCACAGUGGAUUACUCUCAGCUAACCUUUGACCCCAGCCAGAACGAACUGAUAGUCGGAGCCAGAAACCACCUGUUCAGACUCAAUCUGGAGGACCUCUCGCUGAUCCAGGAGGCGGAAUGGCACUGUGAUGAGUUCACUAAGGGAGCCUGCUUCAGCCGGGGCAAGUCAGAGGAGGAAUGUCAGAACUACAUCCGAGUUUUGCUGGUGAAUGGAGACAGACUGUUUACAUGCGGAACCAACGCUUUCACACCAAUCUGCACCAACCGCACUCUGACCAACCUGACAGAGAUCCAUGACCAGAUCAGUGGGAUGGCCCGUUGUCCCUACAACCCUCUCCAUAACUCCACAGCCCUGAUCACGUCCAGUGGAGAUCUGUAUGCUGCUACCGCCAUGGACUUCUCUGGCAGAGACCCAGCUAUCUACCGCAGUCUAGGGGGGCUGCCGCCUCUACGCACCGCACAGUACAACUCCAAAUGGCUGAAUGAGCCUAACUUUGUCUCCUCCUACGACAUCGGGAACUUCACCUACUUCUUCUUUCGGGAGAACGCGUUGGAACAUGACUGCGGUCGGACCGUGUUCUCACGUGCUGCCCGGGUCUGUAAGAACGACAUUGGAGGACGCUUCCUAUUGGAGGACACCUGGACCACGUUCAUGAAGGCUCGGUUGAACUGCUCUCGACCGGGAGAGAUACCGUUCAACUAUAAUGAACUACAGGGAAUGUUCUACCUGCCAGAGUUAGACCUGCUCUAUGGGAUCUUUACUACUAACGUGAAUAGCAUAGCAGCGUCUGCGGUGUGUGCCUUCAACCUCAGUGCCAUCACCCGUGUGUUCGGUGGCCCCUUCAAGUACCAGGAGAACUCUCGCUCCGCCUGGCUACCUUACCCCAACCCUAACCCUGACUUCCAGUGUGGUACCAUAGACUAUGGUUCCUAUUUGAACCUGACAGAGAGGAACCUGCAGGAUGCCCAGAAGUUCCUGCUGAUGAACGAGGUGAUCCAGCCGGUCCAGCCUGUCCCUUACUUCAUGGAGGACGACGUUCGCUUCUCCCACGUAGCUGUGGACGUGGUGCAAGGCAAAGACAUGCUGUUCCACAUCAUCUACCUGGCUACAGACUAUGGCACCAUCCGUAAGGUCCUGUCUCCUCUGAACCAGACCAUGGGCAGCUGUCUAUUGGAUGAGAUUGAGUUGUUUCCGCCCAGGAGGAAACAGCCAAUCAGAAGCCUCCUGAUCCUGCACAGCAGCAGUGAACUGUAUGUCGGCGUCAGGGACCAAGUCAUCAAGAUACCACUGAUGAGAUGCGACUUUCACAAGACCAGAGAGGGGUGUGUUGGGGCGAGGGACCCCUACUGUGGCUGGGACCUGGUGUUAAGGAAGUGUACCACCCUGGAGGAGAGUGUCAGCAUGAGCCAAUGGGAACAGAGCAUCACUAAAUGCCCUGUGCGUAACUUGACGUUGGAUGGAGGGUUUGGGCCAUGGACAGGCUGGGGGGCCUGUAGCCAUACUGAUGGGGGCAGUGCUGGUUCCUGUCUGUGUAGAACCAGGCCUUGUGAUAAUCCCAAACCCCAGUGUGGGGGUCAGUCCUGUCACGGACUCAGCGUGGAGGUUGCCAACUGCUCCAGGAACGGUGUGUGGAGCCCCUGGACUCUGUGGAUCCCGUGUAGCACCAGCUGUGGCAUUGGCUUCCAGGUCCGGCAGAGGUCCUGUAGCAACCCCACCCCGCGCCACGGAGGACGAGUGUGUGUGGGGCAGAACAGAGAGGAAAGGUAUUGCAACGAGCACCUGCCCUGCCCACCUCAUGUCUAUUGGUCGGCAUGGUCAGCAUGGGAACGCUGCACAGUGGCCUGCGGAGGCGGCAUCCAAUCACGCCGCAGGACCUGCGAGAACGGUAACGAGUGCCCCGGGUGUGCUCAGGAGUACCAGUCGUGUAACAACCAGCCCUGUCCUGACCUGAAGAAGACCACCCCCUGGACCCCCUGGACGCCGGUCAACAUCUCGGACAACGGCGGUCACUACGAGCAGCGGUUCCGGUACACCUGUAAGGCCCGUGUCCCUGAACCUGCUCUGUUGGAGGUGGGUCGACAGAGGAUAGAGAUGAGGUACUGCUCCAGGGACGGCUCCACUGGAUGCUCUGCUGACAGAGAUCUGCUGCGGUCGGGUAAGAUCUCGGGCCACACUGUGAACAGAGACUGGACAUCCUGGAGCUCCUGGUCUCAGUGCAGUAGAGACUGCAGCCGAGGGAUACGAAGCCGUAAACGGUUCUGUGACUCCCCUGAACCACCGCACGGAGGACAGACCUGCCUGGGACCUGCUCAGGAGUACCAGGAGUGUAACAUCACACCCUGCCCAGUGGAUGGUAGCUGGUCGUGCUGGUCUGGCUGGUCUAUGUGUUCAGUGACGUGUGGAGGGGGACACUAUACGAGGUCACGCACCUGCAACAACCCCCCACCAGCCUACGGAGGAGAUAUCUGUCUGGGACUACACACUGAAGAGGCUCUCUGUAACAUACAAUCGUGUCCAGAGAGUUGGUCUAACUGGUCCCUAUGGUGCCAGUGUGACAGUUCUGGCUCCCAGCUGCGGGUUCGACACUGUGAUGUCCUGUUCCCUACUGGAAACCAAUGUUCAGGAAGUCACACUGAGACCAGGGCCUGCCCACCUGACUCCAACGUUAUACCGGAAGUCUCCAUCGCUCGUUCCAGUCAGGAGGAGAGAAGAUGCGGAGAUUUCAACGUGUUCCAUAUGAUCGCUGUAGGCCUGAGUAGUUCUAUCCUGGGUUGUUUGGUCACCUUACUGGUGUACACCUACUGCCAGCGCUAUCAGCAGCAGUCUCACGAUGCUACAGUCAUCCACCCCAUCUCAGCAUCACCACUCAACACCUCCAUCACCAACCACAUCAACAAACUGGACAAAUACGACUCCAUUAAGCCCGAUGUGUCUGUACUCUUGACCCUGGACGACCCCGGCAUGUGCCAGCCUCUGUCUACUAACAUGGGCGUGUCCAUGCGUGGCUUGGAGAUUUUCUACUAACUUUCUACUGACUUCUGACCUCUACAACAUCCCGCCUCUUGACCCACCUCCUAGCCUAUGAACAACCUCCUUCCACUUCCUCUUCCUCUCCACCGUGCCCCCACUUCCUGUGAUGCUUCCUGUGUGCGUCAGGCUUUCAAUAAGAACAACCUGAUUCUGGAGGAAAGAAAUAAGUACUUCAACCCCCAACUAGCCGGGAAGACUUACACCAAUUCAUACUUCACUGACCUCAACACUUACGAUGACUAUUAACCCUUUGUUGGGCUACAGCAUCGGGGAGACACACCCUUGUGCAGACAACAACCCCACACCACUCGUUAUGACAAUGUCCUAUAUUUUUCCACCUCGUAAUGAAAUCUAUGACGUUUUAUGUGGGACCCUCCCGCUCUGGGACCCAUUGGCAACAGCCAUCCAAUCCAAUCAAAUUACAGCCACACGGUGAUGUCAUCGAAGGGACAGGACCAAAAAGGAAACUCGAAGUGCUUUCUGAAUGGGAAGGACCCUGCUGUGAUUUCCUGUCACUCUCUUGUCCCAGAGCUGUGUCGGUUCCAGGGGAAGAAAACAAACGAACUGCUUUGCAUGAUUUUCUCUGUCACUCUGUUCAGUUUUGCAUGGUUGGUAGCGGGCAGGCAGGCAGGCAGGCGGGCCACUCACUGUCCGCUGUGCUAGUGUCCUACAGAGGACCCCAAAGGGGUGGCGUUAGUUAUGCCUGAUGAAUUUGAUCCAACUAUAAUGCUCAACGGUAGAUAGUCAAGUGCUUAGCGUACCCAGAGUAACUGUCACUCAAUAGCUACCCCAGGUUGUUGUGGAUUUUAAACCAAUCACAACUCUGCAUUAUGUAGACUAUUGUUAAACCGAUCUUGUUCUAUACCGUCUACCGUUGAGUAACUAAAAUACUAGCCCUUUUGUUUAAAGAGGGGGUUGGUUAUUCAAAUAAAGACAGGAUGUAGAUAUGUGUCCAUGUUUCUUUCUCUUACGGGGCUGGCGUUGGUGUAGCAGUUAGCGGUGGUUGAGAUAUCAGUGUAUAAUCUUUCUUGCUUUUUGUUGCUGUUAUUGUACAGUAAGCUCAUCAUUUGGAAGCAUAUUUCUCUGUGUCUUUAUAGGUCCAUUUACUCAAUGUCAGUGUUAAAAUCAAUCAUUUGAAAUUUGAGUAGAAGAAAUUACCUGGGAAAUAUAUAAGUAGAUCAUGUUCAAACUGCCAUCAUACUUGUUAAUAUUUUUUUUUAAUUUGUGGUACUUUUCAAGGUGAAACAUCUCUCUUUUGUUUAAAGAUGUACAUCCAUAUUCAGUAUGUUGAUUUCUUCAAGGUUUUCAAUUGUAACUAUUUUUAUUUAUUUUUUACGUUUGCUUGUUUUAUUGUGGAUAAAUAAAAUGAAAACGCUUGGUAUA